GGANNNNNGNUUGUACCAGAAGUGGAUAGCUUAACCGCAAGGGGGGCGUUCACCACGGUAUGAUUCAUGACUGGGGUGAAGUCGUAACAAGGUAACCGUAGGGGAACCUGCGGUUGGAUCACCUCCUUA
rnacentral:rRNA from 1 species